UACAGAGGUCUCAAGCGUUGUUCGGAUUCAUUGGGCGUAAAGGGUGUGUAGGUGGCGCCGUUAGUCGGGUGUGAAAUUUCGGAGCUUAACUCCGAAACUGCAUUCGAUACUGCGGUGCUUGAGGACUGGAGAGGAGACUGGAAUUCAUGGUGUAGCAGUGAAAUGCGUAGAGAUCAUGAGGAAGACCAGUGGCGAAGGCGGGGUCUCUGGACAGUUCCUGACACUGAGACACGAAGGCCCAGGGGGAGCAAAACGGGG
rnacentral:rRNA from 1 species